rnacentral:rRNA from 1 species
CAGUCGCCGCGGGAAUACGUAGGUGGCAAGCGUUGUCCGGAAUUAUUGGGCGUAAAGGGCUCGCAAGCGGUUUCUUAAGUCUGAUGUGAAAGCCCCCGGCUCAACCGGGGAGGGUCAUUGGAAACUGGGAAACUUGAGUGCAGAAGAGGAGAGUGGAAUUCCACGUGUAGCGGUGAAAUGCGUAGAGAUGUGGAGGAACACCAGUGGCGAAGGCGACUCUCUGGUCUGUAACUGACGCUGAGGAGCGAAAGCGUGGGGAGCGAACAGGAUUAGAUACCCCCGUAGUCCCUGUCUCUUAUAA